CUGCCGUUGUUCCCGCUGGUGCCGGUAAAUCUCAAUCUGCCAUCCUGCUGGGGUGGACCGUCGAAGUGUGUCCACUUUGUUUUCUUCAUGUUUUGCUUCUGAUUCAGUCCCCGAUAGCCUACAAAGCUAAAAAAAAAAAAAAAAAAAAAAAAAAAAAGUAAAUUUAUUCAGAUCAGUCGAAACACAGCAAACCGCGUGUUUCACUGAGUUUGUCUGAAUAAAAACCUGCUGUCUAUGUGUGAAAAUGUCUAAAAUGCAAAUGCUGAGAGCGUCGGUGACGCAGAGACUAACUGCGGCUGCUGAAGAGAUAUUUGUGCUGUUUGAAAGAUCGAUAGCAGAGUACGAGGAGGAACUUUCUCGAUCAAAAGAGGAGAACGAGCGACAACGCAAACUACUGGACGUCUUUGUGAUGCCGGAGGUUCGGCUGCACAGAGCAGACGUCCAGCAGCUGUUGGAGAGUAAAGAAGAGGUUCCCCCUGAGCAGCAGGAGAGGAGCUCCAGUCUGGACCAGGAGGACCAAGAGCCCCCACACAUUAACCCCACACAUUUUAUUAAAGAGGAACAGGAGGAACUCUUUACCAGUCAGGAGGGAGAGCAGCUUCAAGUGCUAGAGGAGGCUGAUAUCAUCAAGUUCACAUUCACUCCUGUCCCUGUGAAGAGUGAAGAUGAUGAAGAGAAACCUCAGUGCUCACAGAUUCAUCAAAAUCAAAACGUGAAGAACAGAGAGGCAGAGCAUUUGAAUACAGAUGCUGGUGGAGAGGACUGUGGAAGAUCAGAAGCAGCCGAGAACUCAGAUCCAGAUAGACAUUUACAACCAGUUAGUCAUUACGAUUCUUUCCAGCUUCAUAAACAUGCGGCUGAACAGAGCGAUAAUGAAAAAAGCAAUGAUUUGAAAUGUAAUACUGGUAAAAAAUCAUUUAGCUGCUCUGAGUGUGGAAAAAAAUUUGUCCGCAAAGACAAUAUGAAGAGCCACAUGAGAUGUCACACUGAAGAGAAAUCAUUUGGUUGCUUGAUUUGUGGGAAAAGAUUCAGGAAGAAUGCCAAUUUGGCCAGACACGUGAAGAUUCAUGCAGCAGAAAAGCCUUAUACUUGCUCAGUUUGUAACAGCGGUUUUAUUCAGCGAGGGACAUUGGGUCAACACAUGAGAAUUCACACUGGUGAGAAACCGUUUAGUUGUUCGAUUUGUGGUAAAAGAUUUACACAGAAAGGAUCUGUGACAGAGCACAUGACCAUCCACACAGGCGAGAAACCGUUCAGUUGCAGUAUUUGUGGCAAAGGAUUGAACAGGCGGUCGCAUAUCAAAAGACACAAAUGUGUUCAUUUCACAGACGCUUAUGUUGUGAAACGUAAAUGAUAGUGUGGUUGAGUUGAUUUGAGUCCUCAAAACUCUCCAAUGAAUUCAGGCAGCAGCAGCACCAUAAAUCUCCUGUGAUGUUCAGAGCACAACAGACAUGUCACUAACCUGGAGCGUCCCAUUAACAACCUGUAAGGCUUUGGUGCUUUGUUCUGCCCUGCAUUUCCACUGUGCCUUAAAAACCAGAACAUUUUCUAUAUACUUAGAGCAGCAGGGCAGGAAUUAUACCACGGCUAGUGCCCUGGAUGCCCCGGAGUGUGGCUGUAAUGCCCCUUCUAAAAUUAACUACCCACAUGGCCAGUUUGGCAUGUUUUGAACAGGCCCUUAAAAGAAAGUUGCAGAUUUCCCCAUUUAAAACUACAUGUGACGCAGCAAACAAACAGACUCAACAUUUCCCAGAGUCUCCAUCAUCACGCUGGACAUCAACAGUAGUGCAAGAUUUCUCCCAGUCCUGCAAAUAUAUGUGUAAUGUUAAUGUAAACAUUAACAGCAAACCCGCUAGCUAACGUUAGCUAAUAGUUAACAUUAUGUGAUAAGCAGCGCAGGCAGCUGAACACUGUUCAGUGUAAGUAUUGAUACAUGUUGUGUUUUAAACUUUACCAGUCACACAUUCUCCUGCCAGGCUCUUGGAAGUGGUCAAAAUUAUCAAUGUGUUCAAUGUCUAACAUGUAAAAAAGUGUUUUAAGUCAUUUUUGUGACUCCUAUUAUCUCAGACUCAACGGUUGCACGGGUGUUGGAACUUGUUCAGAUGAAUUUUGAUCACCCUUAGCCCAUUUAUAGACGUUAUUUUAGUCAUUAAAAUAUAACAAUAAGAAUAAAAUGAAUUGUUCACAUUUUUUAAAAAAAUCAAUCAGACAGCAUUUUGUGGAAAAGUCAAACUUUCAGUGUACAGUUUUAAUAAACUCGAUACUGUUUUUCAAUACACUUUUUCAAUACUGUAUAAACUUAGUAGUUACAUUCACAACUUUCUAAACUGUGAGGAUUUGUUGCUUUUCCCUGUUUUUAUAUCACUGUAAAUUUAAAUUCUCUCCUCUUUCAUCUGUUGGUCAAAUAAAACAAGACAUUUGAAGAUGUCAACUUGAGCUCUGGGAACUUUUUUCUUUACUUUCUGACAUUGACUUGACAAGGAAUUU